rnacentral:rRNA from 1 species
GACGAACGCUGGCGGCGUGCUUAACACAUGCAAGUCGAACGAUGAAGCCCAGCUUGCUGGGUGGAUUAGUGGCGAACGGGUGAGUAACACGUGAGUAACCUGCCCUGGACUCUGGGAUAACCCCGAGAAGUCGGAGCUAAUACCGGAUAGGACCUGGAACCGCAUGGCUUUGGGUGGAAAGUUUUUUCGGUCUGGGAUGG